GCGGACUUGGCUCAGUCUGGUAGAGCGUCACCUUGCCAAGGUGAAGGUCGCGGGUUCGAAUCCCGUAGUCCGCUCCA
rnacentral:tRNA from 1 species